ACGGAAGGCAGCAGUGGGGAAUAUUGCACAAUGGGCGGAAGCCUGAUGCAGCGAUGCCGCGUGAGGGAAGAAGGUUUUCGGAUUGUAAACCUCUGUCCUCAGGGACGAUAAUGACGGUACCUGAGGAGGAAGCUCCGGCUAACUACGUGCCAGCAGCCGCGGUAAUACGUAGGGAGCGAGCGUUGUCCGGAAUUACUGGGUGUAAAGGGUACGUAGGCGGGACUGCAAGUCAGAUGUGAAAUGUAUGGGCUUAACCCAUAACCUGCAUUUGAAACUGUUGUUCUUGAGUGAGGUAGAGGUAAGCGGAAUUCCUAGUGUAGCGGUGAAAUGCGUAGAUAUUAGGAGGAACAUCGGUGGCGAAGGCGGCUUACUGGGCCUUUACUGACGCUGAGGCACGAAAGCGUGGGGAGCAAACAGGAUUAGAUACCCUGGUA
rnacentral:rRNA from 1 species